CGGACGGGUGAGUAAUGUCUGGGAAACUGCCCGAUGGAGGGGGGUAACUACUGGAAACGGUAGCUAAUACCGCAUAACGUCGCAAGACCAAAGAGGGGGGACUUAGGGCCUCUUGCCAUCGGAUGUGCCCAGAUGGGAUUAGCUAGUAGGUGGGGUAAUGGCUCACCUAGGCGACGAUCCCUAGCUGGUCUGAGAGGAUGACCAGCCACACUGGAACUGAGACACGGUCCAG
rnacentral:rRNA from 1 species